UCCUUGAUGGUCUAGUGGUUAGGAUGUAGCAUUUUCAGUGCCAUGGCCUGGGUUCAAUUCCCAAUCAGGGAA